CUGCAGUCAUCACGAAUUAAUAUUGUUUACAUCUUUAUUGAGGGGUUCAGAAGUUGCUGCGCGGUGCAUGAUGAAAAUGAAGACUGGCCAAUUUUGUUUCGUUUAUAAUACGUGGAAAUUAAAGGAACAUCCUUCGAAAAUCAGGUGUUAUAAGGGAUUUAUUGACCUAGGUUGCUUAUCGAGCAGUUGCAACAUUUGGCCGACUGAAAUUGUCAUAUAGUGGUUGGGAGUUACAUAUAUAUAUCAGCACCAUAUUCGAAUCUUAACGAAAGAAAUCAGAAAUUGCACUUAUUAUUGAAAUGUUAGGUAAAUCAUCAGAAAACGGUUUUCUAAAAAUAAACUUCAACUUUCAAGUUCUGGAUGGAAGUCGCGACGUAAGCCGAUAAAAGCUGUGUGGUAUGGUAUUAUGUAUACCGAAAGUCAUAUGUCUGGAAAUAGACAGAAAAUAGAGCGAAAAAUUAGGUUGAUGAUGCUAUACGCCUCCAUAGAGUAAAGACAUUAUACAUAUAUACAUAUAUGUUUGCACAUUAGUAUCCUUGCUCUGUAAGUGCGUGCAGACAUACAUAUAAGGGCAGUUGUUUGGCUUGGAGAUCUUGACCUGCAUGAUUUUGGAUUCA